rnacentral:lncRNA from 1 species
UGGGUAUAUUGUCUAUUCACUGGAAGGAUCACCUCUUAUUUAAGUGCAUCGCAAUAAAGUUAAAAUAAGUUGCAGUUAUAUUGUAUUGCAAAUUGCCUACCUUUCUCACACAAAGGACUCAUUUUUUUUAGUGUUCUUGGGUAGCACAACUUGAUGCAAUCUUUGUGAGGCAUGUUUUUGUGUUUUUGCCUGGUUCCAUUGUCUUGAAGUCUAUUUUUUGUCUAUUGCUUUCACAGGAAUGGAUCCUGAAUGAAUAGCUGUAUAGAUCAUGCCUCCUGCGAAGAAGAAGAAACGCACGAUUCCUCAAACAAAAUCAAAAAAUUCAAGCAUCAGCAACAAAUUUAAGCAGGAGGCACCAGUUCAAGUGAGGAAGAAUGAAGUCAGCGGAAGAAAAAGGAAAGGACGUAUUAUGCGUAAAGUUAUGUCAUCGACAAAUCGCCUUGAAGAAAGUAGUAAAUCAGCGUCUAGCGAGAGGUAUCAUGAUCAAUCUGUAACAGCAGAGGACAGCCUGAAUCACCGAAAAAUAUUUGGGAAAAUGAGGAGAUCAGCAAUGGCCAAAGCCAUAUGGAAAAAACGCAAGAAAGAGAUGGGACCAAUCUCCAAAAAAAUUAACAGCAAUAAGGAAGGAUGUAGUCAAAAUGAAGGUGAUGAGAUUUCAAACAAUGUUGAUAUUAUUGAUAAACCGAGCAGAUCUUCAAUAGCCAAAGCCAUAUGGGAGAAGCGCAAGAAAGCAACGACACAAGUCUCCAACAAAAUUGACACUAUUAAUGAAGAAAAUAGUCGGAAUAAAGAUGUUGCAAACUCAAACAAUGUUAAUAUUGUUGGCAAGCAAAGCAGGUCCUUGAUGGCCAAGGCCAUUUGGGAAAAGCGCAAGAAAGCAAUGGCACAAGUUUCAAACAAAAUUGAUAUCAGUAAUGACGGAAAUCAUUAUAAUAAAAAUGUUUGGAGUUUAAACAGUAUUGUUGUUAAAGAAGAGCCACAAUCAAACUUUAAUGAGUCCAUGAAUCUGAUAUCAGAUACAAUUUGUCUGAAACCAGCUGUACCUCAAGAAACAGAACGUCAACUUCGGGCGAGGGGAUCGGGGAAAACAGUGAUGCAAGAACAGCCUCCUCAAGUACCUUUACAAGGCCCUAUAAAUACAUGUCCCAUUUCUUCAGAUAAAGUUGCCACCAACGAUAUAAUUAAUUGUAGAAUAAAUUUGGAAAUUAAGCAAGAGCUUAUAUCAGACAAUGAAAAUUUAAUCAAUUACAAUUGCACCCGGGGCAGUGAUCAGAGCAAAACUGUUAUCGUAAAGGAAGAGUCUGCAACAAAAGAACAAGAUUGUCACAAAAAAGAUUCUCUUUUAGAAAGUAAUGCGCAAAUAAAUGAUAAUUCAGAAAGUAUCAAACAACCUUCAGAUGUAAGAGCCAAAUUUCGAGGUGCCAGAUUCGCAAAACAUCAUAAAACGCUUCGCAAAGAAAAGCGAUCUUUAAGGUUUAAGGCUAUGUGGGAAAAACGCAAGAAAUCAGUAGUACCAAAUGUAGGAGAAUCUGAUGAAUCUCUCAAUCAGUUAUCUCCGACAAUCAAAAGUUUCGUCAUCGAGUCAAAACAUCAUAUUCACAAAAAUAUAAACCAGGACAAGUCAGAAAGUGAAGAUCGUUCUCAAGAAUUUUUGAAAACAGACCAGUUUAAGAAUUUGGGCAGUCAAAAAUCUGUAAAUUCCGCUGAUGGAAGGAUAACAACAAUAUUGGGUCUCUCCACUUCUAAGAUUGAAACAUCUUUGGACAGCAGAAACUUAUCUCCUCCGGAAAUAGCAAAAGAUCUGUCGAUCCCACCAAAACCUUAUCCAUUACCUGCAAAAGUGUCAGAGCAGUCAAUUAGUGUUACACCUGCAGACGGCAAAAUUGUUUGGCCUAACUGCAAAGAAUUUGCCCACAGCAGUAAUAAUAAUAAUUUACAUUGUAAUGACAUUAUUUCAGAUAAUGAAUCAAAGGGUGCCUCAUUAAUUGGCAAGGAGAAAGAUGUAGCCCCGAAACUCAUCAGUACAGAAACUAUUAACAAAUCAAACCAUGGAAUUACAAAGUGUGAUGCUGUGAAAAGACGCCGUCGUUCUAUAAUACAUUGCAAGGCACUAAGAAAAAGACUUGCCAGUCAGCAGCGAUAUCUAGCUGCCAAACAAAAAGCUCUGGCUCUUAAAUCGAAAGCAGAAUGCGAGGAAGUCAGUCAAGAAUGUAACUCUAU